rnacentral:rRNA from 1 species
UACGAAGGGAACUAGCGUUGUUCGGAAUCACUGGGCGUAAAGCGCGCGCAGGCGGACUAUCCAGUCAGAGGUGAAAUCCCGGGGCUUAACCUCGGAAUUGCCUUUGAAACUGAUAGUCUGGAGUAUGUGAGGGGGUAGCGGAAUUCCGAAUGUAGAGGUGAAAUUCGUAGAUAUUCGGAGGAACACCGGUGGCGAAGGCGGCUACCUGGCACAUAACUGACGCUGAGGCGCGAAAGCGUGGGGAUCAAACAGG